ACCGAAGCUGUGGAUUGGACCUUAUGGUCCAGUGGUAGGAGAGCGUUCUAAGGGCGGUGAAGCAUGACCGUAAGGACAUGUGGAGCGCUUAGAAGUGAGAAUGCCGGUAUGAGUAGCGAAAGACGGGUGAGAAUCCCGUCCACCGAAUAACUAAGGUUUCCUGGGGAAGGCUCGUCCUCCCAGGGUUAGUCGGGACCUAAGGCGAGGCCGAAAGGCGUAGUCGAUGGAUAACAGGUUGAUAUUCCUGCACCCGCGAGUAAAGUGAUGGAGUGACAGAUAGGGUUAACCCAAGUCCUUAAUGGAUUGGGCAAGGCAAGCAGGAGAGUGGCGUAGGCAAAUCCGCGCCGGAUACUCAAAGGCUUGACUCAAGCGAACGCGCGAGCAAGUAGUGAAGAGGGCAAUACCAGGUCUCAAGAAAAGCUUCUAGCGAUAAUUUACUAGCGGCCCGUACCAAAACCGACACAGGUGGUUGAGGCGAGUAGCCUAAGGUGAGCGAGAGAACUGUUGCCAAGGAACUCGGCAAAUUGACCCCGUACGUUAGCAAUAAGGGGUGCUCGAAAGAGCCGCAGUGAAUAGGCCCUAGCAACUGUUUAACUAAAACAUAGCUCUCUGCGAAGUCGCAAGACGAAGUAUAGGGGGUGACACCUGCCCGGUGCUGGAAGGUCAAGGGGAUUUGUCAGACGCAAGUCGAAGCAUUGAACCGAAGCCCCAGUGAACGGCGGCCGUAACUAUAACGGUCCUAAGGUAGCGAAAUUCCUUGUCAGGUAAGUUCUGACCCGCACGAAAGGUGUAAUGAUUUGGGCAC
rnacentral:rRNA from 1 species